rnacentral:rRNA from 1 species
GAUGAACGCUGGCGGCGUGCCUAAUACAUGCAAGUCGAGCGAACAGAUGAGAAGCUUGCUUCUCUGAUGUUAGCGGCGGACGGGUGAGUAACACGUGGGUAACCUACCUAUAAGACUGGGAUAACUCCGGGAAACCGGGGCUAAUACCGGAUAAUAUUUUGAACCGCAUGGUUCAAUAGUGAAAGACGGUUUCGGCUGUCACUUAUAGAUGGACCCGCGCCGUAUUAGCUAGUUGGUAAGGUAACGGCUUACCAAGGCGACGAUACGUAGCCGACCUUAGAGGGUGAGCGGCCACACUGGAACUGAGUCACGGUCCAGACUCCUACGGGAGGCAGCAGUAGGGAAUCUUCCGCAAUGGGCGAAAGCCUGACGGAGCAACGCCGCGUGAGUGAUGAAGGUCUUCGGAUCGUAAAACUCUGUUGUUAGGGAAGAACAAAUUUGUUAGUAACUGAACAAGUCUUGACGGUACCUAACCAGAAAGCCACGGCUAACUACGUGCCAGCCGCCGCAGUAA